GGGGAUUUAGCUCAGUGGUAGAGCGAUUGCCUAGCAAACGCAAGGCCCUGGGUUCGAUCCCCAGCUCCG
rnacentral:tRNA from 1 species